UACGUCAGUGGCAGACGGGUGAGUAACGCGUGGGAACAUACCUCUUGGUUCGGAACAACACAGGGAAACUUGUGCUAAUACCGGAUAAGCCCUUACGGGGAAAGAUUUAUCGCCGAGAGAUUGGCCCGCGUCUGAUUAGCUAGUUGGUGGGGUAAAGGCCUACCAAGGCGACGAUCAGUAGCUGGUCUGAGAGGAUGAUCAGCCACAUUGGGACUGAGACACGGCCCAA
rnacentral:rRNA from 1 species